AUUGAACGCUGGCGGCAGGCCUAACACAUGCAAGUCGAGCGGAUGAAGGGAGCUUGCUCCUGGAUUCAGCGGCGGACGGGUGAGUAAUGCCUAGGAAUCUGCCUGGUAGUGGGGGAUAACGUCCGGAAACGGGCGCUAAUACCGCAUACGUCCUGAGGGAGAAAGUGGGGGAUCUUCGGACCUCACGCUAUCAGAUGAGCCUAGGUCGGAUUAGCUAGUUGGUGGGGUAAAGGCCUACCAAGGCGACGAUCCGUAACUGGUCUGAGAGGAUGAUCAGUCACACUGGAACUGAGACACGGUCCAGACUACUACGGGAGGCAGCAGUGGGGAAUAUUGGACAAUGGGCGAAAGCCUGAUCCAGCCAUGCCGCGUGUGUGAAGAAGGUCUUCGGAUUGUAAAGCACUUUAAGUUGGGAGGAAGGGCAGUAAGUUAAUACCUUGCUGUUUUGACGUUACCAACAGAAUAAGCACCGGCUAACUACGUG
rnacentral:rRNA from 1 species